GCCCCUGUAGCUCAGAGGACAGAGCAGAGGUUUCCUAAACCUUGUGCACAGGUUCGAGUCCUGUCAGGGGUA
rnacentral:tRNA from 2 species